CCACCUUCCUUCCCUCGUAUGUUGUAGGGUGAUAUGUAAGAUGGCCGCGCUCAUGACACACAGUGAGCCUGAUGAUGGGAACGGGGCUACUGGCACACUGUAGCAAAAUACAGCUGUGAUCAGUCAAGAAGUGACCCAGAAAAUUGGACGUCCACCUAAAGAGAGGACAAUUCCUCUCCAGAAAAAGAUCUACAACCAGGACUUUACUAUUAAUUUAUGAGGACAAAUUCUCCAGAAGUUCGGCUGAACUGGACGCCGCUUGAAGAGGGGAACAAACGGAAUAGUCAGAUGGGCGUCACAUGACCCUGUAAGGAGAGAGGCGCCUAUUGUGACCGCCAAGAGGACCCCUCUGAUGGAUGGUCUAGAAGAUCCGGACUGAACACAACCAAAGGUUGUAGGGUGAGAUGUAAGACGGCUGCGCUCACCUGCAGCAGGAUAUAUAUGUGCUGUAUACCUGAGGAGACGGUCACAGGAUAUAGGAAGACCCCAGAACAAGCCUGCUGGACCUGAAAGCUGCAAUCAGACCGCAGAGAUGUCUCCGCUCGCUGCGCUCCAGGCACUACGAUGCAGCAGUCUCUCUCCGCAGGAACCUCAGGAGAACGGGGAUGACCGGCGCCUCCGAGAAGCCAUAAAACUCCCACUUUCCUUUGCUUUUAUUA